CAGACAAUUAUAAUGAUUUAAUUAUUGGCGGGGAAACUCAAUCAUUUCAAUAGCGGGACACUUAGGUUCUUAUCUCAGCUUUGAAACCGAUAGACAAAAAUUGAUUUUAGAUUGUAAUUCAUCUAUUUGUAUGUUUUGCCUGAAAAAAUAUGGUCGCUAGUGUUUGUAUAAAAUAUGAACUGAACAUUUAAUAUGUUGUUUAGGUUGACUUGAAAGAAGAAUUAAUUCAAAAUAAUGGCGAGACAACUUCGAUGUUAUACGCUGUUUUGCCCAAAAUUAUCUGCUAGAAUAAUGUAUUCAAAUCAAAUCAAAUCAAAUCAAAUUUAUUUAUAUAGCCCUUCGUACAUCAGCUGAUAUCUCAAAGUGCUGUACAGAAACCCAGCCUAAAACCCCAAACAGCAAACAAUGCAGGUGUAAAAGCACGGUGGCUAGGAAAAACUCCCUAGAAAGGCCAAAACCUAGGAAGAAACCUAGAGAGGAACCGGGCUAUGUGGGGUGGCCAGUCCUCUUCUGGCUGUGCCGGGUAGAGAUUAUAACAGAACAUGACAAAGAUGUUCAAAUGUUCAUAAAUGACCAGCAUGGUCAAAUAAUAAUAAGGCAGAACAGUUGAAACUGGAGCAGCAGCACAGUCAGGUGGACUGGGGACAGCAAGGAGCCAUCAUGUCAGGUAGUCCUGGGGCACGGUCCUAGGGCUCAGGUCCUCCGAGAGAGAGAAAGAAAGAGAGAAGGAGAGAAUUAGAGAACGCACACUUAGAUUCACACAGGACACCGAAUAGGACAGGAGAAGUACUCCAGAUAAACAAACUGACCCUAGCCCCCCGACACAUAAACUACUGCAGCAUAAAUACUGGAGUCUGAGACAGGAGGGGUCAGGAGUAUUGAGAUGGGAGUCGUAUUUAAAUAAAUGUAUCAUAGAAGAGAAAAGUCACCUAAACCUUAAUAAAUGUAGGGAAUAACUGAGAGAUACGAAACAGUUUUGUGCCACCAGGAUGAUAUAUUUUUUUACGAAUCGACUGACAUACGAUAAAUUUAGCACAGAACAUGGUACGUUUAAAUGUUAGGAUAAAGAAAGUUGAGAAGUUUGGUUGGUUUUACUUUGUCGAUAGAAUUUAAAGCAGAACUCAAUCUGAAUAGGGAAUAUGUAUUUUACAGAGGCAGGCUGAUUUGAAGGUAAAACUGUGUAAUUUUACGUUGACUACACACAACGUUCCUCAAAUAAUGACAGAGAAAAUGGGUUGUGGCAUUUAGAGGGAAAAUGCAUGCAUUAUAGCUUGAGUUACUUUUGAUAUUUGUUUUGCACAUUUAUAACAUCCUAAAGCUUGAUUCUGCACUUAGUUUGACCAGUUUAGUCGAUAUAUAAUAUGUCAUUUUGAAGUUUUGAUGCGCAUCCACUAGAAUUUUGGCUGCAUUUCAACCGGAAUUUGUCGCGUUUGAUAACCCAAAGACACAGACUUGAAAACCAAACGCAGUUUUUGGUAAGUAUGACUCCUUCCACGUCUUCUGAUCGAAGAACAUCAAAGGUAAGGGAAUAUUUAUGUGUUAAUUUUGUGUUUCUGUGAACUCCAACAUAGAGGAGACAUAAUGCUAAUUUCUGAGCGCCUUCUCAUAUUAUAGCCUAGUGAACGAAUUCUGUAACGUUAAAAAUAAAUGUAACACAGCGGUUGCAUUAAGAAGAAGUGUAUCUUUCUAUCUAUAUGUAGAACAUGUAUAUUUAGUCAAAGUUUAUGAUGUGUAUUGCUUGUUAUCUGACGUUAUCUGACGGAGCUAUCAUCAUUUGUCCGGACAUUUGAGUAGCAUUUUUUGAACAUGGCGUCAUUGUAAACAGAGAUUUAUGGAUAUAAAUGGCAUAUUAUUGAAAAAAACAUAAAUGUACUGUGUAACAUGUCCUAUUACUGUCAUCUGAUGAAGAUUUUCAAAAGGUUAGUGAAUUAUUUUUAUUUUAAUCCUGCGUUUGUUGAUUGCAUAUUUUGUUCAACUUGGCUAUUCAAAUUAGCUGUGUCUUUGGUGGUGGUUUGACAUAAAUAUGUGCUAUGUUUUUGCCGUAAAACAUUUUAGAAAUCUGACUUGCUGGGUAGAUGAACAAGGUGUUUAUCUUUCAUUUGAGCUAUUGGACUUGUUAAUGUGUGGAGGUUAAAUAUUUCUAAGAAUAUUUUUGCAUUCCAUGCGCCACGUUCCAGCUGAACGUGGGAGGGAUCGUUCCCAAAGCGAACCCACCACGUUAACAGGUUGUAUCAUGUAUGUCGCAUGUUCAUUUAAGUAAACAUAUACAUAGACGUUGUUUAAAACUGAUUAUUAAUGAUUUGAGUCAAAGGGGAAUUAUCAUUAGGUUUAGUUUAUAGUUCACUUUUCAGUUUCUGAAUCGAGGUAGCAUAGUGAAUGCUAGUUAGGCAUUUUGAGUUCUUCUGGGGAAAUUGAUGUUCAGGUGUCUCACUUUUAGAUCUCUUGGGGAGAGUGGGUGCGAUUGAGGCCAUAAACGACCAAAUUGAAAAAGCCCUGGAAGUUUUGUUUAUUCAUUAAUGUUUGCAAAUAUAUAGACAUAAAACAUUUGUUAGGACUAUUUGUUUUAGUGCAAAGGUAUUUUAAAGAGGCACACUCACAUAUGGAACUUUAUGAGUUUUUAUUUUAUGAGUUUUAAUUAACAAGUGAAUGUUUUUUAUUUGAAGGAUAAAGGGUUCUUUAAUAUGUCUAAUGUGGUAUGGAACAUGACUAUAAAAGGGCGGUAUGACCUAUUGACCUUAUCAUGGCUAUCAUUUGGGGUCUGAUCAGCCUCAUGGGAGAGCCAGUUGUAUAAUGAAUGUGUGGUCAUUUGGGUUACUAGUUGACCACACAUUUUAGAGUUUUAGUUUGGGGUUAGAAUUAUUGUUUGAAUCACUGAUGAGAAAGUGUUUCAGGAUUCUGUUUUACAAAUAUUAGCUGUGAAGUUUUUGAAUGGGCUAUUAUUGAUUUGGUAUUACAACAGAAAAUAAUCCUAUUUAUCAUUGAGAAUAAAUAGGGGGAGAUAAAACAUGGUCCUUUGAGGUUUGGACAGGACACCUUAUUAAGCCAAUAGGGCAGGAAAUUACAUAGAAAAAUACGUUUUAGUUCUUAGGGGUGAUAAAUUACUGUAGAUAAGGUAUUCCACACUAUGCCUCAUAUAUUAAAUUCAUGUUAUUGUCAGAUAGAAUACUGAGGAUCUCUGAAGGAAAGAGCUUGUAAGUGUAAGAAGGAUUUUGAAUAUGGUUAGCAUUAAUUUUGGCUUUGUUUGACCAUUAGGAGGUUUUUAUUUAAAUAUUAUUACAUUUGACAGGAAUAUAUGACAUCUGUGAUGAUUUAGGAUUUUGGUAAGGAUUAAGAUAGAUUGAUUAAGGACAUGUAAGGACUUUAGAGAUUGCCACUUAUAGACAUGUUUUUCUAAAAUCAAUGAUUUUAGAUAGUCAAACAGUGAGACGCUUAGUGGCGUUUGAGAGAUAGGAGAAAGGAAUUACUGUUUAAAUGGGUAAAUAUAUAUAUUUAAUAACAUAUAUAAAUAGCACAGAUACUUCUUAAACUAGAUAAGACACUGGACAGAGAAUUGAUACAGGAUUGGGAUGAAUGGAUGCCCAAGGGAGAAUUGGACAUACAUGAUAAUGUCAGAAUAUAAGGAUAAUUUACUAAUCCUACCUAAGUCAUUAUUUAAGGUAGAUAAGGUUGUUACCUGGGCAGAGCCAGGUAUCAAAAGGGGGUAAGUAGUGGCCUAUUGGAUAAUAAACAGAUAAUAAAAUAAAAAUGUAGCUAACAAAUAGGCAUAGAAGUUAAAGAUAUAAUCAGAUAAAUCAUAUGAAAAACUGUUUGUUAACCAAGCCUGUAUGUCCAGGAUUUUAUGCAUUACAGGUGAACUACAGGUGAAGUCACUCAAUCCAGUCCCUGAGGCUUGUUGGGGAGACCAUACCAAGGACUCCUGGUGACAGCUAGCUGAAAGAGCUACCCGGAUUCAUGUCACACGGCGGGAGGGUAAGACACACUGACACUGUCGAACAAUAAACAGUGUUCGAGAGGAGAACUGGAAUUAACAGAAUUCCGGAGGCCAUCUCUCGAAUGAAGAAAAUCCUUUCUGUCAUUUCACCCCUGUUUUUGUUCAUAGAAGUGAAGGUGUGUCUGGCUCUUGCUAAUGAUGUGUUCUCGGGGAGAGGGUGGGGCUUCACAUGGGCGCUGUUCGUCUGAGCUGUCUUAUCGUGGGUGCCAUAUUCCUGAUACAGCACGUCCCACCUGAGUAUGCGGAGAGUGGUAAUCCUACCUGUCCUAUCACCCCUGUUUUUGUUCAUAGAAGUGAAGAUGUGUCUGGCUCUUGCUGUUCACGAAAGCAGGAAUGCCAGAUAAUGACAGUUGUAUUGAUUGCACUAUUUAUAUCCCCAGGUUCCCCUUAAAUCAAGACUUCCUCCCUUUACAGUGACCGGAGGAGAUUAUUACCGUUUGGUACAGUACUCUUGGGAAAUGAUGUCAGGGCGAGGUUUUACCGACAGAUUGGACAGGAUUAUGCUACUUUGUACAUUUGGGAAUGCCUUUCACACUCAUUCAACACCAAGACAUGAAGUUUAGCCAAAUGGGAAAAAGAGUUACUCCAUCCGGGUCUCUUGAUGACAAAGUAUACAUUGAUAACAUUGGGGUUCCACGGGGGUGCUAGAUGAGUUCAAAGCAAGAAAUCAGAUCCUAGCAGGAUUAGAGUUAAGUAUUUCCGGGUGGUCUACUCUCAAUAAGAACGUGGACUGGAUUAAUUAUAUUUAUGAUAAUCAACAGAGCUUUAACAAGUAUACCAGAGAUGCUAUUAAAGGUUUUGCAGAACAGACUGAAGCAACCAGCCUGAUGGCUUGGCAGAAUAUAAUUGCAUUAGAUAUGUUAUUGGCUGAAAAGGGAGAAGUAUGCGUGAUUAUUGAGCUCCGGACGAAUCAGUGCCCAAAGCCUCAGCUGGUUUGACCACCCUGGCUCACGGGUUGGCAGAAAACUCUGGGGUGGAUACUUCUCUGACUAAUUGGGUUUGAUAGUAUGUUCGAAAAAAAAUAAUAUUAUGAUCACUGUAUUAUGGGCUACAUUCACCUGUGUGAAUUUAGUUUUAUGGGGCUGUUGUCUAAUUCCCUGUGUAUGAGGCCUUAUUUCCAGGACUCUGGAGAAAUCGAUGACAAUAGAUGGUGAGGUACCAGGGGAUUCCAGGUUCUGACCCGCGGAGUGCUGAUUGUCUACAGGACAAGUGGAUGAAUCUGGAUCCUUCAGUUGCGGGGAAUUUAUGUUUGAAGAGACCAUUUUUGAUGUUUAGGGAGGCUAGGUUGUAUCCCGUUUCAAUAAUAGACUGUUUUUUUAUGAUUGUAACGAAUAUCCUGAUAAGAAGAGUUAUGAUUCUGAUGUAGGCCUGAGAAACAAUUAUGGCGAAUGCAAGUGUUGGGUUAUGUUUAGGUGAUGUUUUGAUGACAAGAACUAUCUCUAAUAAAAAUAGAAAUGGGCUUUUUAAUAUUACAAUAUAACUACAAUGUGUGAUUGGAUGUAUAAUAUUUAAUCAAAGGGUGGAUAUGUUAAGGGAAUUUUUAUCAAUGAUGACUAAUUAUGUAUACAUUUCAAUCAGGACUGACUAAUCAGAAUACUAUUAUGUUACGGUAUAUGUGCUAAUCAGAAUACUAUUAUGUUACUGUACAUGUAUGAAUUUUCUCUCUUGCUCCCAGUAUUGAAUAUAAUGUAGUCAAGAGUUUAGAACAAUGACGGUCUGUUCAUUGGAACAAAUGAAUGAACUAUCUCCAGACUGUCUAGAAUGCUUAUCUACACUGACUGACCUUGGCUCUAGGUGAGGAGGGAAGGCUUGAGAUCUAUAGAGCCUUUCUACCAGUGUCAAGAAGAGACGGAACAUUUAGAAAACGCUGACGUCAUUUUCAGUUUAUAACUUGUGGUAAAAUGUGUAUGUACUCAGUACUCUCUUGAAUAAAGGCUGUUACUUGACUUUAA